rnacentral:tRNA from 1 species
GCAAUGGUGGUUCAGUGGUAGAAUUCUCGCCUGCCACGCGGGAGACCCGGGUCCGAUUCCUGGCCAAUGCA